AGCGAACGCUGGCGGCAGGCCUAACACAUGCAAGUCGAACGAAGUCUUCGGACUUAGUGGCGGACGGGUGAGUAACACGUGGGAACGUACCUUUUGGUUCGGAACAACUCAGGGAAACUUGAGCUAAUACCGGAUGAGCCCUUAGGGGGAAAGAUUUAUCGCCGAAAGAGCGGCCCGCGUUAGAUUAGCAAGUUGGUGAGGUAAAGGCUCACAAAGGCUACGAUCUAUAGCUGGUCUGAGAGGAUGAUCAGCCACACUGGGACUGAGACACGGCCCAGACUCCUACGGGAGGCAGCAGUGGGGAAUCUUGCGCAAUGGGCGAAAGCCUGACGCAGCCAUGCCGCGUGAAUGAUGAAGGUCUUAGGAUUGUAAAAUUCUUUUACCAGGGACGAUAAUGACGGUACCUGGAGAAAAAGCCCCGGCUAACUUCGUGCCAGCCGCCGCCGUAAUAC
rnacentral:rRNA from 1 species